ACACUCCUGCGGGAGGCAGCAGUGAGGAAUAUUGGACAAUGGGUGGAAGCCUGAUCCAGCCAUCCCGCGUGCAGGAAGACGGCCCUAUGGGUUGUAAACUGCUUUUAUCUGGGGAUAAACCUACUUACGUGUAAGUAGCUGAAGGUACCAGAAGAAUAAGCACCGGCUAACUCCGUGCCAGCAGCCGCGGUAAUACGGAGGGUGCAAGCGUUAUCCGGAUUUAUUGGGUUUAAAGGGUCCGUAGGCGGACUGAUAAGUCAGUGGUGAAAUCCGACAGCUUAACUGUCGAACUGCCAUUGAUACUGUUAGUCUUGAGUAAUGUUGAAGUGGCUGGAAUAAGUAGUGUAGCGGUGAAAUGCAUAGAUAUUACUUAGAACACCAAUUGCGAAGGCAGGUCACUAAGUCUUAACUGACGCUGAUGGACGAAAGCGUGGGGAGCGAACAGGAUUAGAAACCCUUGUAGUCCCA
rnacentral:rRNA from 1 species